AUUCAUUCCCUGCCCCCAACUCUGGGCAACCACUGAGCUUUCUACUGUUUUAAUGUCUAUGAUUUGGCCUUUCCCAGAUGUCAUAGACACUGCAUAAUGUUCCAUUGUGUGGACGUGCCAGUUUACUUAUCCAAUCACCCGCUGAAGGACAUCUUGGCUGCCUCCAAGUUUUGAGAGAGAGAAAGAGAAAGCCCACAUGUGCAACCACAAGCAAGGAGGAUGGCAGGCAGAAGAAAAGGGAGAAGCAGACUCCCC